rnacentral:piRNA from 1 species
UAGCUGACGAUGUUGAAAUAUUCUUUCUU